UUCCCCGCCCGCGUCUCCUCGCUGUCGCCGCCGCUGCCACACCAUGGCCUUCGUCACCAGGCAGUUAAUGCGUUCCGUGUCCUCCUCGUCCACCGCCUCGGCCUCGGCCAAGAAGAUAAUCGUCAAGCACGUGACGGUCAUCGGCGGCGGGCUGAUGGGCGCCGGCAUUGCCCAGGUUGCUGCAGCAACUGGUCACACAGUAGUGUUGGUAGACCAGACAGAGGACAUCCUGGCAAAAUCCAAAAAGGGAAUUGAGGAAAGCCUUAGGAAAGUGGCAAAGAAGAAGUUUGCAGAAAACCCUAAGGCCGGCGAUGAAUUUGUGGAGAAGACCCUGAGCACCAUAGUGACCAGCACGGAUGCAGCCUCCGUUGUCCACAGCACAGACUUGGUGGUGGAAGCCAUCGUGGAGAAUCUGAAGGUGAAAAACGAGCUCUUCAAAAGGCUGGACAAGUUUGCUGCUGAACAUACAAUCUUUGCCAGCAACACUUCCUCCUUGCAGAUUACAAGCAUAGCCAAUGCCACCACCAGACAAGACCGAUUCGCUGGCCUCCAUUUCUUCAACCCAGUGCCGGUCAUGAAACUUGUGGAGGUCAUUAAAACACCAAUGACCAGCCAGAAGACAUUUGAAUCUUUGGUAGACUUUAGCAAAGCCCUAGGAAAGCAUCCUGUUUCUUGCAAGGUAAGAGUAUGGGUAGCUUGGGAAGGAGGUAGUUCUUUUCUUCUUGGACCCUGACUUAUUCCUGGUAGAAUUCUUCUCAUAGAAUGAUGUGAAAGAAGGAGCAUUGUAUACUGCAAGCUUGUCCACGUGCUGUAAAGAGCAAUCCGUGCCUCCUGUUCUAGUUUGUAGACAGGGAAACUGGACUCCUAAGCCAUGCCUAAGGCCAUUAUGUGGAUAGUCUGAGACCUGAAUGGAGCUCAGGACACCAGCUGAGUAGAAGACACAGGACUGCUCUCUGUCCUGGCUUUUGUCUCCUGAUGAAUGGCUGCAUUUUCAUAAAUGAUUUUAGGUACAGCUUGGUAAACACAUACAUCCCUAACAGAAAAUGAGGGCUUUACUUUUGCAAGAAAUACUACAGAUGGUGAAAUAAAUGAUAAGACAGUGAGAGAGCAACCUGCCAAAAUAGCAUUAAGGAACCUGUUUCUCACCGGGAAGUUGCAUUAUGUUUUUAUUGUUUGUUGUUUUGUUUUUCAAGAAGCAGCAUGGUUUAGUGGGAAGCCUGCUUGACUUCCAUCUUUUUUUUCCCCUUUCUUAAGCUGCCCAGUUAUUGUAUAUAAAGUAAUCCCAGUUGCUGAAAUGAUAACCUACCUGAAGGUAAUUAUUUUGAUUACCUUCAGUUUCUCCAUUUGCUUUAGUUCCUCUUUAGUUCCCCCAAAACUCGGGGACUAUACUUAUGCAUGACUUUGCAGUUUUUCUUAAGGGGUAGUUGUGUCACAAAAUGCUACACCAUUACAAAGAUUUACAUAUAAGUCAUCUACUUUUUUUUUUAACUGUAAUCCUUUGUAUCAUUAUAGUUCUCAUAGCAAACUUUUGCUUUCUAAAAUAUUCUCGAGUUUGAACUCACAGUACUGUACUAACCCAUGAAAAAUCAUGUUGUUCAUGAAUCACCUGAAGAAGCCAUCUGUUGAGGUGGACUCCAGCAGCCAAAGAGAGCAGGCUUGUGUGUCCUGCUCCUCCCCGUCCAUGGGUAAAGUGUUGUUAGGGAGUCUCAUGCUUUAACACCCAUUUUUUUGUUUGUUUGGUUCCGUAGUUUUAAGUCAUCUAGAUUUCUAAAAUCAUAUUAAUAAUUGGAUGUUAUGAUUGUACUUUCUUACGCAGUUAUGCUUUGUUAGUGGAAGAAAGUAGUAAUGGUAUUGAAAAGAACAUCUGUGCAAGACAAAAAGAUAUGGAAACAGAAGUACAGGGAAAAGCUAAUGAUUAUCUUCAGCAGCAUAAUAAUUAAUCUACAAAGUAAUGAUUCAGUCUUCCAUCAGAGUGGCCACGGCAGCUGCAGAGAUGGGAACUCUUUGUUCUCAUUAAAUUGUUCUUGUUAGGUCAUUCCAGAACUCUCUCUGUGUGGUAUUCUAAGGGCUUUCAGAGGGUUUUUCUGGGUCAGUUGUUGAAGCUCUUUAUGAGGCAUCUGGACAAUAUAUGGCAACUACAUAGGACAAGGGUCAGCAAACUUCUGUAAAGGACCAGAUAGUGAAUAUUUUCAGCCAUACAGUCUCUGUUGCAAGUAGUCAGUUCUAUUGUUGUAGCAUGAAAACAGCCAUAGACAGUAUAUGCAAUAUGAGUGUGGCUGUGCUCCAGUAAAACUUGACUUACAAAAACAGGCUGUGGGCUGGAUUUGGCCUACAGUAUUGUACUUUACCAAUACUUGACAUAGAAGAGGGGCAUUAAUGUGCCUGGAAUGUGCCUUCCUAGUGACACUUCAUGAGGGGAUUGUGGUAUAUAGGUUAAGGGUAUGAACUAGCCCAACUGGGUUCAAAUCCUGGUGCCGGCACUUAUUAGCUGUGUAACCUUAGGCAAGCUACUUAACCUUGCUGUGCCUCAGUGUCCUCAUGCUUCACGUAAGGAUAAUUAUAGUACCUCUCUCACAGGGUUAUUAUGAGGAAUGAAUAAAUUAAUAUUUUUAAAGUAUUUAGAACAGUACCUGGCACACAGUAAGUACAGUAAAUAAAAUGUGUUUAAUAAAUAAGAAUCUGAAAAAUAUGAAUUUGAUUACAUAAAAUAAAAUUACUUUAUUUAAAGAUUGUGUCUCCUGCUAGGCACGGUGCCUCACGCCUAUAAUCCCAGCAUUUCGGGAGGCCAAGGCUGGUGGAUCACUUGAGCCCAGGAGUUUGAGACCAGCCUAGGCAACAUGGCAAAAACCCUCUCUACAGAAAAAUAGCUGGGCAUGGUGGUGUGUACCUGUGGUCCCAGCUACUUGGGAGGCUGAGGUGGGAGGGUCGCUUGAGCCCAGGAUGUGGAGGCUGCAGUGAGCUGAGAUCACGCCACUGCACUCCAGCCUGGGCAACAGAGCAAGACCCUGCCAAGAGAAAAAAAAGACUGUGUCUUUUCACAUUCCACCAAUAUACUGAUAGCAUCUGUCUCUCUG
rnacentral:sRNA from 1 species